rnacentral:rRNA from 1 species
GACAGAGGGGGCAAGCGUUGCUCGGAAUUACUGGGCGUAAAGCGCGCGUAGGCGGAUCUGCAAGUCGGGGGGUGAAAUCCCGAGGCUCAACCCUCGGAACUGCCUUCGAUACUGCGGGUCUCGAGUCCGGGAGAGGUGAGUGGAAUUCCUAGUGUAGAGGUGAAAUUCGUAGAUAUUAGGAAGAACACCAGUGGCGAAAGGCGGCUCACUGGCCCGGUACUGACGCUGAGGCGCGAAAGCGUGGGGAGCAAACAGGG